rnacentral:lncRNA from 1 species
UCCAAGGUUGAGAGCGUUUAUCUGGCAAGAGCUUUCUUGUUGGUGGGGAUCCUCUGCAGAAUCCUGAGGCAGCACAGGACAUUACAUGAGAACUUCCCUUCAUGAUGCUAUGCAAUCCCCAGGAGAAGCACGUUGAAAGCUGAGUGAGUUUCUUACAUUACCUCUGUUCUUUGACGUGACUGCAUUGAGGUCAAGCUGUACGUUGUGUUCAUUCUGUUUCUUGGUAUUCCAUCAUUGUUAUAUUGCAAAGGGAGAGGGGUGGGAAACUAUAGCCCUUCUUGUCCAGGAAGAGUUUUUAUUUUUAUUUUUUAAGAUGUUGCUAGGCUUCAUGAUUAUAAAUAAAUUAAAACCAGAAACUGUGUUUUCUCUUGGGCACGUACUUAAAAAUAGUCUUUGAAGUGACAUGGUUAAGUGUCAAAGGAAAUCCCCACUGCAGUCAAUUUUAGAAUAAUUCCUAAGGACCUCAGGAAUGUGCAACCCAUUGUUGUAUGCAAGUGGAAAAUAAGCUGUUUUUAAAAAAAGUAUAUACA